rnacentral:rRNA from 1 species
UACGUAGGGUGCAAGCGUUGUCCGGAAUUAUUGGGCGUAAAGAGCUCGUAGGCGGUCUGUCGCGUCUGCUGUGAAACUCGGGGCUUAACCCCGGGCCUGCAGUGGGUACGGGCAGACUAGAGUGCGGUAGGGGAGACUGGAAUUCCUGGUGUAGCGGUGAAAUGCGCAGAUAUCAGGAGGAACACCGGUGGCGAAGGCGGGUCUCUGGGCCGUAACUGACGCUGAGGAGCGAAAGCGUGGGGAGCGAACAGG